UAGGGAAUCUUCGGCAAUGGGGGGAACCCUGACCGAGCAACGCCGCGUGAGUGAAGAAGGUUUUCGGAUCGUAAAGCUCUGUUGUUAAGGAAGAACGAGUGUGAGAAUGGAAAGUUCAUGCUGUGACGGUACUUAACCAGAAAGGGACGGCUAACUACGUGCCAGCAGCCGCGGUAAUACGUAGGUCCCGAGCGUUGUCCGGAUUUAUUGGGCGUAAAGCGAGCGCAGACGGUUAGAAAAGUCUGAAGUGAAAGGCAGGGGCUCAACCAUUGUAGGCUUUGGAAACUGUUUAACUUGAGUGCAGAAGGGGAGAGUGGAAUUCCAUGUGUGACGGUGAAAUGCGUCGAUAUAUGGAGGAACACCGGUGGCGAAAGCGGCUCUCUGGUCUGUAACUGACGCUGAGGCUCGAAAGCGUGGGGAGCGAACAGG
rnacentral:rRNA from 1 species